GUUAGCUGCUAUAUUUGCCCUGCAGCUCUUGCCUGGUUUCCCACUGAAUCUAAGCAGGGUUGAGCCUGGCCAGUACCUGGAUGGGAGACCUCCUGGGGAAAACUAAAGUUGCUGAUG
rnacentral:rRNA from 1 species